GGGGCUACAGCGGCAUGUUCAGCUCUUCUCCUGUGCCCUGGCUGGCAGCGUGGAAGAUGUCGAGGGAGCAGCUGCUGUAGGCUAAAACAUCAAGGUGUCUCAUUGUGUGAUUUCCUUCCUAUUUUUUUGUUUGGUGCCAAGUAGGCGGUUUUUUCCUUUACGUUUUCCACACAUUUGAAGUUUGAUAUCUUGAGCAGUUUCCUACCCUCCCGCAUUUUGCGGGAGACUACCGGAUCGGUAAGGAGUCUCCCGUUGCCACGGAAACACAUACUUACAUCUCCCCGAUUCCUCAAUGCCCAGUUAAGAAUACGGACUGCGUCUGCACAAUUGGAUGUGACGGGGGCGUGGCCAGAAUAGCAGCCACGGAAGGAGGGUGUCCCAGGAAGACGUCAUGUGGCUGAAUCUCCAGAAUGACCGUUGGUCAUGUUACAGCAAACAGAAAAAAAAACCCGAAAACAAUUGUGCAAGGAUUUUCAGAAAGUUACUUCAUUGAGAAUCUCAAAGCGAGGGAUGGGCAGAUUUGCAUAGAAGCUUUUGAACCUUGUAAAUGAAAACAAGGAAGAAUAAACUAACAUAUCCCACGCAUACAACUGGUUUCCAUGGUCCCCGGAGCCGGACGGGUGAUGUCACUUCCGAUGCGACGGACAGAGCAGCGGCCGGAAGUGCCUGCUGCAGGAAGGUGGCCGCAGGGACUGGGAGCCCACUGACAUAAACGCGGAGGGGCUGGUUUCCAUGGUCCCCAGAGCCGGACGGAUGAUGUCACUUCUGGUGCGACGGACGGAGCUGCGGCCGGAAGUGCCCGCUGCAGGAAGGCGGCCGCAGGGACCGGGAGCCGGCUGACACAAACGGGGAGGGGACGGAAUCGUCAUAUUCAAGUUCCGCCUGUGGGCUGUAAACUACAUUCCUCAUGAAUCUAAUAUCAAGUUCCGGCUUCCCCCGAUGACGCGGGACUAUACUUCCGGGAACAGCAUCAUAUGACUACACGAUGUGGACGAGAACAAAACUACAUCUCCCAUCAACACCCGGGGGGACCGGAACUUCCGCCUGGCGCGGCACUAUGUAGCUUUAUUGAAGUGUAAAAACGGAAUAUAAACAAUGUAAUAUUGAUGUAUACUUUUAAAUAAUAAGGAACAUUAUGCAUAGUUAAUAUUACUGUUUGUUUAUUGUAUGACGUUAAAGAAUAUUUAUUAAUUACAUGACGUCAUGUCCUGUGACUUAUGAUUGGCUACUUGUACUAUAAAUAUUAAGCUCCUGCACACUCCAGCUUAUCUUGAUAAAGGUCUUGUAGGACCGAAACGCAUUGAUAUAUUGCCUUCAGGAGUGUGAGUAGCUGCUUUUUAAAAACUUUUAUGGACUAUUUUUGUAUAUUUCUUGUUUGUUUUUAUUGGAUCAUUUUUAUUGGAUAAAUAUUUUUUUAAUCAAUUUUUUUCAUCUAUCAACUUCUGCAUGUUGUUUGUACACCACGUGUGUGGUCUUUUUUAUGUAUAUGGAUUCUGCAUAAUCCAAUAAAC